UGUGUAUAUAUGUAUGUGUGCAUAUGUAUGUGUUUAAUUUAUAGAUCUAGAAAUAGAAACACACGAUACACACACAAUACAUACACAAUACACACACAAUA
ensembl:miRNA